UUUUAUUUGAGAGUUUGAUCCUGGCUCAGGAUGAACGCUGGCGGCGUGCCUAACACAUGCAAGUUGAGCGAUUUACUUCGGUAAAGAGCGGCGGACGGGUGAGUAACGCGUGGGUAACCUACCCUGUACACACGGAUAACAUACCGAAAGGUAUGCUAAUACGGGAUAAUAUAUUUGAGAGGCAUCUCUUGAAUAUCAAAGGUGAGCCAGUACAGGAUGGACCCGCGUCUGAUUAGCUAGUUGGUAAGGUAACGGCUUACCAAGGCGACGAUCAGUAG
rnacentral:rRNA from 1 species